rnacentral:rRNA from 1 species
ACGCUCGACACCUACGGAGGCAGCAGUGGGGAAUAUUGCACAAUGGGGGAAACCCUGAUGCAGCGACGCCGCGUGAAGGAAGAAGUAUCUCGGUAUGUAAACUUCUAUCAGCAGGGAAGAAAAUGACGGUAUCUGACUAAGAAGCCCCGGCUAACUACGUGCCAGUAGCCGCGGUAAUCUGAGCGGGCUGGCAAGGC